UGGAAUGACCCCAAUGAGCGCAGGGAAUUGUAGUCCAUUUAGCUGCUGGCUUUUAGAGGGGCGGGGAAGAGCCGGGUCGCUCUCGUCAGCUGAGGAGAAUGAUUCAUAGAGGAGGGUCAGGAGAGAACAGUUCUGGCUGCGAAAGCCCACUUAAAAGGCUGGGCUCUUCUGCGAGGGAGGGAGAGGCAGGAGAGUAAGCGAGGCCUCGGGCCUGACCUCGCCUCAGGCCGCUCGUCAGGCCUCCAUCGAGUCUUGGGCCUUGUCGGGGGCGGCCGCGAGGCGCCGGUUGCUGGGGGACCGGUGACGUCGCGGGGUGAAAGUUGAGGGGCGGUGACGUCGGCCCUGCCCGGGCGGAGGCUGGCGGGUUGGAGGCAGGAGGGAGGGAGGGAAGGAGGGAAGGAAGGAAGCUGGGAACGAGCGAGCGAGCGGGGGCGCGAGGCGUUUACCUGGAGGCAGCGGCUUGGGCGCGCUGAGCGGCCGCGGCUCCCCCGCACCUGCGGCCAUGGAUGAGGAGCGCGCCCUCUACAUCGUCCGGGCCGGCGAGGCGGGGGCUAUCGAGCGGGUCCUGAGGGAUUACAGCGAUAAGCAUAGGGCUACUUUCAAAUUUGAAUCAACAGAUGAAGAUAAAAGAAAGAAACUCUGUGAAGGUAUAUUUAAAGUCCUUGUAAAGGACAUCCCAACAACAUGUCAAGUGUCUUGCCUGGAAGUUCUCCGCAUUCUCUCCAGAGACAAAAAGGUUUUAGUUCCUGUAACAACCAAGGAAAAUAUGCAGAUACUGCUGCGACUAGCCAAGCUAAAUGAGUCGGAUGAUUCUUUGGAGAAGGUGUCCGAGUUCCCAGUUAUUGUGGAGUCAUUAAAAUGUCUGUGUAACAUAGUGUUCAACAGUCAGAUGGCACAGCAGCUCAGCCUGGAACUUAACCUUGCUGCAAAGCUCUGUAACCUCCUGAGAAAGUGCAAGGACCGAAAGUUUAUCAGUGACAUUAAAUGCUUUGACUUGCGCUUGCUCUUCCUCCUGUCACUUUUGCACACCGACAUCAGGUCACAAUUGCGCUAUGAGCUUCAGGGACUAGCGCUGCUAACCCAGAUCUUGGAAAGUGCCUUUAGCAUCAAGUGGACCGAUGAGUAUGAAUCGGCCAUAGACCGUAAUGGACCUCCUCUCUCACCUCAGGAGACAGACUGUGCCAUCGAGGCCCUCAAAGCUCUCUUCAAUGUGACAGUAGACAGUUGGAAGGCACAUAAAGAGAGUGAUUCUCAUCAGUUCCGUGUCAUGGCAGCUGUCCUUCGCCAUUGUUUACUAAUCGUAGGUCCAACUGAAGACAAAACAGAAGAGCUGCACAGCAAUGCAGUCAACCUUUUAAGCAAUGUUCCGGUCUCUUGUUUGGAUGUUCUCAUUUGUCCAUUAACCCAUGAAGAAACAGCCCAAGAGGCAACGACUCUAGAUGAACUGCCCAAUGAUAAAACAGCUGAGAAAGAAACUGUUUUGAAAAAUAAUACCAUGGUAUACAAUGGUAUGAAUAUGGAAGCCAUUCAUGUUUUACUCAAUUUUAUGGAGAAGAGAAUAGACAAGGGAAGCAGCUAUAGAGAAGGUCUAACUCCGGUUCUCAGCUUAUUAACAGAAUGUUCCCGAGCCCAUCGAAACAUCAGAAAAUUUCUCAAAGAUCAGGUUUUACCACCAUUGAGGGAUGUGACAAAUCGUCCUGAAGUUGGCUCAACUGUGAGAAAUAAGCUGGUGCGCCUCAUGACACAUGUUGACCUUGGAGUCAAGCAGAUUGCUGCUGAAUUCCUUUUUGUCCUUUGCAAAGAGAGAGUGGAUAGCCUGCUGAAAUACACUGGCUAUGGGAAUGCUGCAGGACUGUUGGCGGCCAGGGGCCUCUUGGCUGGAGGAAGAGGAGAUAAUUGGUACUCAGAGGACGAGGACACAGACACUGAAGAAUACAAAAAUGCAAAACCAAACAUUAAUCUUAUCACUGGUCAUUUAGAGGAACCAAUGCCAAACCCCAUAGAUGAAAUGACAGAAGAACAAAAAGAAUAUGAAGCCAUGAAACUUGUCAACAUGCUUGAUAAACUCUCCAGGGGAAUCCACAUUUCUAGAAGCUGCCAACAAAUAAAUAGCCUGAAGCUAUGUCAAGUCUGAAAUUGCCAAGCUUCUUCCACUUGAUUUAAACUAUGCCUCAAAGAAGAUGCAUACUCACCCAGAAUCACCCAGCAGAUACCCAACUCAAUCUGAAGGAGAGCAGAUGUGAAGGACCCGCACCAGGAUGGUGGUUAGCAACAGUGGCCCGUGCCAAAGCACUUACCAAAGUGAUGAUUAAGACCCUGUCAUUAAUUCCAUGUGUCAAUACUGCCCUGUAGUACACAGAGCAGACAAGAAAGAAGAGCCCUUGAAAACAAGGGAAUGAUUUUUGAGUCGUUAUCAAGCUAAGUGGCAAGCGGGAAGCUGAAACUCGUAUAGAGAGGAGUUGCUUAAACCAAUGGGACUAAAACCUGAUGGGACAAUAACGCCUUUGGAGGAAGCACUCAACCAGUACUCUGUCAUCGAAGAGACCAGCUCUGACACAGACUAAAAGCGUCACCUGCCCAACUCUCAAUAUUGCUUUUAUCAGCAUCUUUUCUCUGUAGCUCCAGGGGAGUCUUUUCUCUAAAACAUUUAUGCCCUUGCUUUGGCUAGAAACACAUUAACUGGUUUACUCAUUGAGAAUCCAGCAUAUUUAAGAGGUGAUCCUGUGUUUUUGCGAUACCGAGGCAUUCGUACAGAGCUGCAGUUAGAUGGAGUUGCAGGGGCUAAAAACACAGAGAAAGAGUAAUUCCAUUUCCUCAGGAUGGAACUGAAAGGACUUCGUUCUGCAAAGCAGCCCUGGUUGAAUCUGGCCGUUCUGUUUGCCAAGGUUCUUAGAAGAUAGAGUCGCGUCCUUCCUCUCACCGGCGAAAGCUGCCCUCCUGAAUCUCUCCAGCAGACAGCGGCACGUGAGAAGCAGAACGAGCUGCUAAUAAACAAGGGCUGAGGCAAGCGACUUCUUAGAUCAGGACUGACCACAUGGAAGCCAAGCAGCUGCUCCAUAAACCUAGCCCCACUCUUCAAUUUUGUAUAAAGAUGUGGAAGUGCACACACAAACACGCACACACACAGCCCCAGACUUGCAAACUGAUUACAUUCUGAAAGUUUGUAUGUCGCUUAUCUAGAACUUCAGAAUACAUUUCUCCCCAUAAAGGGUUAUAAAUGAUGGUUUAGUUCUGAGGCAGCUACAAAUGCCUAUUUAUUCCCUUAUGUACCUUAACACUAGACCCAUAGAACUGAACCCCCCCCCCCCCCGCCCCUGCCCCGUCUGUAUCACUGCAUGGGAGCGUGCAUUCUGAGCUCUGACCCAGGGUGCCAGGAACACACAUCCUCCGAUCCAGCAGAGUGGAUGGGGACUCCCCGAGUCCUGGGGGUUCUUGUGUGGCCUCUGCCGGGGGUAGAGGGAGUCAGCGGCACCCAUCUGUACAUACAGGUCAUUCAUAUGUCACAGGUUUUAAAUUGGGGACUGUGUGUGUGCCUGUGUGUGUGUUCAGCCUUUCUACCCUAGGUGAUCAGUUUAAUGGUAACUUUAUUUAUUUAAAAAACGAGAAAGAAACACAAGUAGUUACUGUUAAACUGAUUAAAGCUGUUUAUUUUUACUUCUAGAAUUGGUCAUAGGAGGAAGUAGAAAAUGGAUCCUGCAGUAGACAGCGGGCCUAGUCAGUCAGUGGCUAAAGCCUAAAGGGGUCGGUUUCCUUUUAUAUGUGUAUGUAUGUAGAUAACACACACAUACAUACAUAUAUAUACAUAGAUGAUGUGCUUAACCACUGCCUUUUAAAACUUUAAAUUAAAUAAAACAUUGGGGUUGAUUCAA